CCUGGCGAGCGUGAUUCGCACAAGAGACCGGCUGAGCUGCUCCAGAUGGUGCGUGUCUCCUUUGGAGGAAAUGAACCCCCGCUGGCUGGCCAUUGCCACCCCCCUCUCCCCAAAGACCCCUUCCCCAAAAGAAAGCCCAUAAGCCGCCUUCUCCAGUGAAAGAUAAAUCUUUUAUCACAAUCUGGUUUCAGGACAAUUGAAGGGGGGUAUUAAACAUGCUUGUCGGUGUGUGGGGCAAACACCACUGCUUUGCACAGGUUUCAAAAUUAUUAUUUUUAUUACGUUUAUUGGCUGCCCAAUAAAAGCCACUCCGGGUGGCUCGCAAACUCCCCAAUUGGCCGUUUUCUCCCAGGAAGCAGGAUGCAAUCCCCGGGCAGCCGUCCGAAUCAUGAUCUCCCGCAGCGAGACGGACCUCCUGAGCAUCCGUACCGAGUUCAAGAGGCGCUACGGGGUCUCCCUCUACUCCUUCAUUAAGGCGGAAACACAAGGCGAACACCAGGCGGCUUUACUCGGCUUGUGCAAGUCGGAAGAUCUGUGAGACACGCCGCGAGGAUCCUCCCCGUCCAGAGGCAGUCUACCUCGGAAGAACCCUCCAGCUUUUCCCUUCCAGUGAAGUUGCAAAGGAGCUCCCCCAUCGCCCCCCGGGGAAGGCAGCUGUGUGGAAUUCAGCCUGACCGGUUGGACAGGUUUCUACCUCUCUCUCUCUCUUCCCCCCCCCCCACAACCCCACCCCAAAUUCUUCCAAUGCUUUCCAGGGGCUUGGGGUGGGGGGUGGGGAAGGGGGAAUUUAGAGACAAAAAUCCAGCUGAAAAAGGCGGGGUGGGUGGGAAUAAAUUAGCAGAGAAGACCGAUAAAGCCUCCAGCAUCAGGAGCAAUCUACCUCUGAAUAGCUGCUGCGGGGAAAUGCCGGUGGGCUUCUCAUUGGCCAGUUUGGGAAAUCGGACCCUGCAGUAGAUAAAACUCCAGUUUGAUGGCAUUUUAGGGUGGGGGGUGGGUGGGUUAGAUUCCUACAACGAGGUUUAAUUUUACAUCCCAACCUCAAGAGAUCCGCUUCUGCUCCCUCCAGCCCCGUUUCCUCCCGCCAAGGGACCCCCCCCAACCCAUCAGCCACAGCCCCACCCCAUAUGCCUGUGCAACCCGUACACCCUUCCUCUUUCCCCCCUCCCAAAAAACAUUCUGCUCCUCCCGAAACGUUGCUUGUAAAAAAAAUAAAAAAUAAACCAGGCACAAGAUCUCUUUGGGACCCAGUGGAUUACCCCGGGGGGGAAGUGGGGGGGAUUCAAACACGCUCUUUCAAGAAGGACUGCUUUAUUCCAAUGUAAACAGAGGCAGGAUUAAUCGAUUAAUCGACUCGGAAACGGAGGCGGAAGUGAUUUGAGAAUUUAGUCCAGCCGUACAAUAUAUAGCCCUCGAAAACCAGGAGAAAGAGAGAGAAAGAGAAAGAG